UACAGAGGGUGCAAGCGUUGUUCGGAAUUAUUGGGCGUAAAGGGCGCGUAGGCGGUUCGGCAAGUCUCUAGUGAAAUCUCAGGGCUCAACUCUGAGUCUGCUGGGGAAACUGCCGGGCUUGAGUGUGGGAGAGGAGAGUGGAAUUUCCGGUGUAGCGGUGAAAUGCGUAGAUAUCGGAAGGAACACCUGUGGCGAAAGCGGCUCUCUGGACCACAACUGACGCUGAGGCGCGAAAGCUAGGGGAGCAAACAGG
rnacentral:rRNA from 1 species